AAACCUUACUAGGGUAAGACAUCAGUAUGAUUGACAGAUUGCAUGGUCUUUCUUGAUUUGAUGGGUGGUGGUGCAUGGCCGAUCUUAGUUGGUGGGGUGACUUGUCUGGUUAAUUUCGAUAACGAACGAGAUCCGAGCUGUUUAGUUGUGAAUCAUUGAUUAGUCAGUGCUACGUUUCUAAAUGGACCAUCAGCUCAAGCUGAGGGAAGUGACGGGCUAAAU
rnacentral:rRNA from 1 species